rnacentral:lncRNA from 1 species
AUUUGAAACACGAUGGAGGUGUAAGUUAUAAACACAAAUAAUUAAUGAAAGUGCAGCUCUUCUUUGCAAUGCAGAGGUUUUAGCAAUUUUGGAAAAUUCUAAAUCUGAUUUGAAAGGCUCAAAAUAUGGUGUUCAGAGUGCAAAUGAAAAAAACAAGCAAUUAAGUAACAAAGAAAAAGGCUUACAGCGUUUGAAUACAAU